CCUACGGGCGGCAGCAGUCGAGAAUCAUUCACAAUGGGGGAAACCCUGAUGGUGCGACGCCGCGUGGGGGAAUGAAGGUCUUCGGGUUGUAAACCCCUGUCAUGUGGGAGCAAAUGACAAAGAUAGUACCACAAGAGGAUGAGACGGCUAACUCUGUGCCAGCAGCCGAGGUAAUAACGAGGGCUCAAGCGUUGUUCGGAAUCACUGGGCGUAAGGCGUGCGUUGGCAGGUUCGUAAGUAGGGUGGGAAAGGCGCGGGCUCAAACCGCGGCCGGCCCAUGAUACUGCGGGACUAGAGUGAUGGAGGGGGAACCGGAAUUCUCGGUGUAGCAGUGAAAUGCGUAGAUAUCGCGCGGAACACUCGUGGCGAAGGCGGGUUCCUGGACAUUAACUGACGCUGAGGCACGAAGGCCAGGGGAGCGAACGGGAUUAGAUACCCUGGUAGUC
rnacentral:rRNA from 1 species